UACGAAGGGGGCUAGCGUUGCUCGGAAUUACUGGGCGUAAAGCGCGUGUAGGCGGUUGCCCAAGUCGGGUGUGAAAGCCUUGAGCUCAACUCAAGAAAUGCACUCGGUACUGGGUGACUAGAGGACCGGAGAGGAUAGUGGAAUUCCCAGUGUAGUGGUGAAAUACGUAGAGAUUGGGAAGAACACCAGUGGCGAAGGCGCCACUCUGGGCCGAAACUGACGCUGAGGAGCGAAAGCGUGGGUAGCAAACAGG
rnacentral:rRNA from 1 species